rnacentral:snRNA from 1 species
AUACCUUUCUCGGCCUUUUGGCUAAGAUCAAGUGUAGUAUCUGUUCUUAUCAGUUUAAUAUCUGAUACGUGGUUCAUAGAACCACAUGAUAUUAAAUGUAUUUUUC